AAAAGAAAAACUGCGCUUUAGUAGUUUUUCAUUGGUGUCAGAGUCAUCGGCUUACAGUUAUGGUGUAAACUGUAGGGUGAGUGCAGUCGCUUGAUCAUGAAACCGGAAGUGAAAGUGUUCAUCAAACCAAGUCACACGAGUGGUCUAGAAGGGGAAUGAAAUGUGCUUCACUCUACAGUAAUGUAAAAGUUUGCUUGUAAAUCACAAAGGAGAUAACAAGAGCCUGAGGGGGAGAAAAAUACAAAGCAACUGCAGCUGCUGUCCGCUCGAGACGUGGAAUUGUUAUUUGCUCCAGAGGAGACGCUCUGCACUUGCCAACGAUGAAUGAGAAAGACGGUGCCUGAGUAAUUUAGAACAACAGUUGGAUAACAGUCUGCACCCACAAUGGAGCAAGCAAGAGACUGAGACUAACUACAUGAACUGCUCCACACACACCAUUGUGAGACCAAAGGACCUUUUUCAGGCUCUGAAGAAAUGGACGACUGCAAAA